rnacentral:lncRNA from 1 species
GCCAUCAAUACUAUUUAAAGAGGAAUCAAUCUUGUUCUCUUCAAUCGCUCAUCUACCUUGAUCUCCUGAAGGACAGGAAGACAGAUCUCAUCAAGAUGAAGACCUUUCUGCUGGCUCUCGGAUUCGCUCUGAUCUGUGCUUCAUCCGCGUUUGACCCAGCAAAGAUCACUGGGGAAUGGCGCACCAUUCUCAAGGGAGCUGAUGACGUAGAGAAGAUUAGUGAAUAUGCAGAUAUGAGAAUCCGUUUACGUCACCUUGAAUGUAUUGAUGAUUGUGAGAAGUUAGCCAUCACCUUCUACGUUAAGUAAGUGAAAAUUGUCCCCAUGUUAAGGAACUAAAGAGUUCACUUC